CUGGUUGAUCCUGCCAGUAGUCAUAUGCUUGUCUCAAAGAUUAAGCCAUGCAUGUCUAAGUGUAAAUACGUCUACACUGUGAAACUGCGAAUGGCUCAUUAAAUCAGUUAUCGUUUAUUUGAUGGUCAACUUACUACAUGGAUAACCGUAGUAAUUCUAGAGCUAAUACAUGCGUAAAGCCCCGACUCACGAAGGGGUGUAUUUAUUAGAUUCAAAACCAACCGUGGUACCCCCACGUCCCUUGGUGAUUCAUAAUAACUUGUCGAACCGCAUGACCUUGCGUUGGCGGUGAUUCAUUCAA
rnacentral:rRNA from 1 species